rnacentral:lncRNA from 1 species
AUCUAUCAGUCUAAUUUUUAAGGUUAACAAUAACCAAACAGUAACUUAUCACAAAGUUUAUUUACCUAUUCUACAUAGCCUCACUCCUAAUUGUGCAGCGUCCUUGCAAACAUUAUUUAGCCCCAACUUAUAAAGACGUAGCAACGUAUAUCUCCGAAGGUGUUGUCAUUAAAACUGGCGUAUUGGUCCGCACUAAAUUAUUGGCC